rnacentral:lncRNA from 1 species
GGGACAGGAGGGCCGGGAAGCUGCCGGAGGCUGGAAGGCAGCCAGGUUGAGCCAAGUUCAGACGAGGAUCUGCCAGCAGAGGCAGGCAUUGGGGAGAAGAGGUUCCGGAACAGCCCAGCAGCCCCAGGGCAGGAAAGGGUGUGGAGUCCCUGCUCAGAGGCCCUGAGAUGAAGAUCCCCCACCAACCACGGAGGCUGUCACUCUGUGGCCUUCUCUAACCUGGAGUGACUCAUCCUGGGCUUUCUCACCCUUGAAGUAGGUUCACCACAGCUCUCUCUCGGGUCUCAAAGGAGGAUCCGAGGGCUCAGGCAAGAAUUAGAUCCUCUGUACAGACAGAAGUGCAGAAGUGAGAUGCCCUCCUCCACACGCUGGCCCAGGUGGUGACUGUGACCUUCGGUUCUGCUCCCUGGUGCACCUCCAGUGCGGGGUUCAGGGCAAGUGCACCCAGACACACCCGGAGUGACUCAAAUCAGUAAGUGCCUCUGAAACAUGUGUCAAGAGUAGCAUCCAAAUGCCUGGCCAAGCCGGAACAGCUGUUGUCUUCUUCUAGAAAGUUCCAGAGGUGACCUUCUAGUAAAGACACUCAAGUUGGAACAACACGAUCAACUGCAGCCCCUGGCAGGACGGCAGCCCAGGCAGAGAGGUCACUCUCUGCAGCCUAGGAGGAGAGGUCACUCGCCGGUGCCUAACCCAAGGCAGACUCGUCCCAGUGGAGGGGGCGCAGGCUCAGGGAAGGUGCCUGCCUUCCAUCUCUGCCUCCUGAGGCUUCCAAAGGCUUCUGUCUGCAGGGGCUAAAAGUCGGACCUGAAUUUCCCCCACCACCUCCACAGUCCUUGGAAUGUUACUCAAUCUCUCCUCUAGGCUACAUUGUCUCAUCUGCAAAAUGGGUGAUACAGUUUGCUUACUUAACGGGACCUUUAGAGCAGAGGUCAGCAAGUACCAGCUUGAGGGCAAACUCAC